GCAGUUUUAGUGUAUAGAUCAUUCCCCUGCAAUUUCACUGCUCAAUUCACUGUCAUUUAGGAGUUAAAUCACUUUGUUUCUGUUUAUGCAGCCCUAGCCACACCUCCCCUGGCUAUGAUUGACAGAGCCUGCAUGAAAAAAAAAAAAAAAAACUGGUUUCACUUUCAAACAGAUGUAAUUUACCUUAAAUAAUUGUAUCUUAAUCUCUAAAUUGAACUUUAAUCACAUACAGGAGGCUCUUGCAGGGUCUAGCAAGCUAUUACCAUAG
rnacentral:lncRNA from 1 species